GUAUUCAUUUUACGUCUACCAUGGAGUGAACUGCUUCCUCCACCACCUGCCCCAGCCACGAUGUUCUGCCUCACCAUAGGCUCACCAGCCUCAAAAGCAGUAGGACCAGCCUAUCAUAGGAUGCCCGCAAAACGAGAUCAGUGGAAGACACGGGAACCGGAGUGGUCACAUUUCAGGAUUCUGAAGACAGAAGAAUUACGAGGGGGUUCGUGGAAAUGGCUCAGUGAGGAUGGACAGCUAAGUUCAAUUCCUGGAGCCUAGGGUAGAAGAAGAGAAUUGACUUCACCAUCUGAGCACUAACCUCGCGGGCACGCUGGGCUGCACGUGAACCACCCCCACCCCACCCCACCCCCGCCCGUCGCCCAUUAAUUAAUAAAAAGCGUAUCUGUAACAGA
rnacentral:lncRNA from 1 species